ensembl:snRNA U6 U6 spliceosomal RNA
GUGCUCGCUUCAGCAACACAUAUACUAAAAUUGGAAUGAUACUGAGAUUAGCAUGACCCUUUGCAAGGCUGACACACAGAUUUGUGAGGUAUUCCAUAUUUUU